rnacentral:pre_miRNA from 1 species
UAAACAAGGAUCUGUUCCGAAGCCCUUUGAAGUCACUGGGAAUCUUUCCAUUGACUUCAGUGGGCUUUGGAUCAAGUCCUUAGUUA